rnacentral:rRNA from 1 species
GAUGAACGCUGGCGGCGUGCCUAAUACAUGCAAGUCGAGCGAACAGACGAGGAGCUUGCUCCUCUGACGUUAGCGGCGGACGGGUGAGUAACACGUGGAUAACCUACCUAUAAGACUGGGAUAACUUCGGGAAACCGGAGCUAAUACCGGAUAAUAUAUUGAACCGCAUGGUUCAAUAGUGAAAGACGGUUUUGCUGUCACUUAUAGAUGGAUCCGCGCCGCAUUAGCUAGUUGGUAAGGUAACGGCUUACCAAGGCAACGAUGCGUAGCCGACCUGAGAGGGUGACCGGCCACACUGGAACUGAGACACGGUCCAGACUCCUACGGGAGGCAGCAGUAGGGAAUAUUCCGCAAUGGGCGAAAGCUUGACGGAGCAACGCCGCGUGAGUGAUGAAGGUCUUCGGAUCGUAAAGCUCUGUUAGUAGGGAAGAACAAAUGUGUAAGUAAAUAUGCACGUAUUGACGGUACCUAAACAGAAAGCCACGGCUAACUACGUG